CUUAAAUCCAAUCAUGUGGAAUCAUUUCAAUUCAUUUUGAGCCUAUCACAAAUUUAAAUUUAUUUGAACUAAAGAAUUAAUUGAGUUUUACUUCCAUCUACUUUCUGCAGGUUUAGACAUCAGCCCCAGGGAUCUUGCUUUGCUCUGCCAAAAGGUAGAGAAUCAUGUAGUUGGAGCUCCAUGUGGUGUGAUGGACCAGAUGACUUCAGCGUGUGGUGAAGCCAACAAACUUCUUGCUAUGAUUUGUCAGCCUGCUGAGGUAAUAGGGCUUGUGGCUAUUCCUAGUCAUAUACGGUUUUGGGGAAUUGAUUCAGGAAUAAGAAACAG